rnacentral:rRNA from 1 species
CCUACGGGUGGCAGCAGUGGGGAAUAUUGGGCAAUGGGCGCAAGCCUGACCCAGCAACGCCGCGUGAAGGGAGAAGGCUUUCGGGUUGUAAACUUCUUUUCUCAGGGACGAAGCAAGUGACGGUACCUGAGGAAUAAGCCACGGCUAACUACGGGCCAGCAGCCGCGGUAAUACGUAGGCGGCAAGAGUUAUCCGGAUUCACUGGGUGUAAAGGGCGUGUAGGCGGGACUGCAAGUCAGAUGUGAAAACCACGGGCUCAACCUGUGGCCUGCAUUUGAAACUGUAGUUCUUGAGUACUGGAGAGGCAGGCGGAAUUCCUAGUGUAGCGGUGAAAUGCGUAGAUAUUAGGAGGAACACCAGUGGCGAAGGCAGUCUGCUGGACAGCAACUGACGCUGAGGCGCGAAAGCGUGGGGAGCAAACAGGAUUAGAUACCCUAGUAGUC